rnacentral:lncRNA from 1 species
CACGCCCAGGCAAGGAAGAUAUAAAAGAGAACCUCAGCUCAGCUCUCAGUCAAGUUCCUUCCUGGCAAGAUGAAGUCCACCGUCUUCUUCAUCCUUGCUCUGCUCCUCAUUCUGGAGGCAUCUGGCAGGAGGCUGCGUGCUCCUGUUAGAUCACAAGACCCUCUGAUAAGCCGUGUUUGGCACAAAGAAGUGGAAGAAACAGAAUCAAGCCGAGGUCAAGAUUUUGACAAACGCCGCUUCUGGGAGAAAGAUGACCCCACAGGAGAACGAGUUUCAGUGCGGCACGAACACCUUGAGAAAAGUCACAUUCGGUUCAAAGAAGAUUCCGUGGACGACGCAGGUUCAGUGGGUGGUCUCGAUCCUUUAAAAGGACACCUUCGGCUCAAACGACAUGAUUCCAUGGAAGAACUAGUUUCAGUUGAAGAUCAAGACUCAGCUAAUGUUGGGGAUCCUGCGAAAAGUCACAGUCAGCAUGUUUGACUCCUUUAAGGUGAGCUCUAGCUCCUGCUCAUAGGAAAGGUCGAGUGGUGGGGUGGCGGGAAGGAGGAAAUGGGGAAGCACUGAAUAGAAGGAGAUUGUGAGAGAUCUCAGAGGCCGUAAACAAGGUGCAGAGAAGGAUGCCCUUGACUCUUCACUGGAUCAGAGUGCUUUGCCCUGGGGCUGGGGAUUUAGCUCAGCUGCAAAAGCGCCUGCCUAGCAAGCGCAAGGUCGUGAGUUCGGUUCCUGGUACCGGAGAAAAACCAGAGUGCUUUGCCCUGUUGAGUUAUAUUGCUGAUUCUUUUCCCCCCCACCAGGUGGAUCCUGUCCUGGCUGCUCCUGUCCCUGGCCCAGGCCUGCAGGCCUCUCUGUAGUCCCAGCUACCGGUAGCACCAGGCUUUCAUGCGUUGCCCAUUCUUCCAUUCUGGAUGCCCAAGCAUGUCCCUGACUUUCUCAUCUACUUUCCAAUAAAAAGAUCUUCUGCUUCAUU